rnacentral:sRNA from 1 species
UGUAAUGUGGUGCUUUUUGGGGAUUGUC